AAUCUUCGAUGUUAAUAGUCCAUCCUUGCGGGCGAGAGCCAAGGUAUGAGUGUACGAGACAUGAGGGCAGUCUGUGCAUGCAUCUGCUGACGCAGUCGAACAUCAGUGGGGGAUUGAUAUCCACCUGCGACGCAAUCGGGUCGAAGGAGGGCGGACCCAGCUGGACCCGCGUAAUUCCGGGGCAAGUGCUCUCUGAGAUCUGUCUUAACGCGCGGUAGGAUUCCGGUGGCUUAGGGAGUGUUCCCCGCCAUCAAGGUACGUGCUAAUCCCACCCGUCCAACGGGUUCACGGCGACGAUUUCAAGCGCCGUGUCGAGGGCAAUCAAUGGCCAGCAGCCGCGGUAAUUCCAGCUCCAAUAGCGUAUAUUAAAGUUGUUGCAGUUAAAAAGCUCGUAGUUGAACCUUGGGUCUGGCUGACCGGUCCGCCUCACCGCGUGCACUGGUUCGGCCGGACCUUUCCUUCUGGGGAACUGCAUGCCCUUAACUGGGUGUGUCUGAGAACCAGGACUUUUACUUUGAAAAAAUUAGAGUGUUCAAAGCAGGCCUAUGCUCGAAUACAUUAGCAUGGAAUAAUAGAAUAGGACGGCGUUCUUAUUUUGUUGGUUUCUAAGACCGCCGUAAUGAUUAAUAGGGAUAGUCGGGGGCAUCAGUAUUCAAUUGUCAGAGGUGAAAUUCUUGGAUUUAUUGAAGACUAACUACUGCGAAAGCAUUUGCCAAGGAUGUUUUCAUUAAUCAGUGAACGAAAGUUAGGGGAUCGAAGACGAUCAUCUGGUCGUCGACAGUUAUUUUGUUCUAGUCUGGGGGCUUCCCCCGGGCGACACCAAUAAACUGUUGGGGCGAGCCCUAGAGGUUUUACCCAC
rnacentral:rRNA from 1 species